GACGAACGCUGGCGGCGUGCUUAACACAUGCAAGUCGAACGGUAAGGCCCUUCGGGGUACACGAGUGGCGAACGGGUGAGUAACACGUGGGUGAUCUGCCCUGCACUUCGGGAUAAGCCUGGGAAACUGGGGCUAAUACCGGAUAGGACCACUGCCUGCAUGGGUGGUGGGGGAAAGCUUUUGCGGUGUGGGAUGGGCCCGCGGCCUAUCAGCUUGUUGGUGGGGUGAUGGCCUACCAAGGCGACGACGGGUAGCCGGCCUGAGAGGGUGACCGGCCACACUGGGACUGAGAUACGGCCCAGACUCCUACGGGAGGCAGCAGUGGGGAAUAUUGCACAAUGGGCGCAAGCCUGAUGCAGCGACGCCGCGUGAGGGAUGACGGCCUUCGGGUUGUAAACCUCUUUCAGCACCGACGAAGCGCAAGUGACGGUAGGUGCAGAAGAAGGACCGGCCAACUACGUGCCAGCAGCCGCGGUAA
rnacentral:rRNA from 1 species